rnacentral:rRNA from 1 species
CCUACGGGCGGCAGCAGUGAGGAAUAUUGGUCAAUGGACGAGAGUCUGAACCAGCCAAGUAGCGUGAAGGAUGACUGCCCUAUGGGUUGUAAACUUCUUUUAUAUGGGAAUAAAAUGUUCCACGUGUGGGAUUUUGUAUGUACCAUAUGAAUAAGGAUCGGCUAACUCCGUGCCAGCAGCCGCGGUAAUACGGAGGAUCCGAGCGUUAUCCGGAUUUAUUGGGUUUAAAGGGAGUGUAGGUGGAUUGUUAAGUCAGUUGUGAAAGUUUGCGGCUCAACCGUAAAAUUGCAGUUGAAACUGGCAGUCUUGAGGACAGUAGAGGUGGGCGGGAUUCGGGGUGUAGCGGUGAAAUGCUUAGAUAUCACGAAGAACUCCGAUUGCGAAGGCAGUUCACUGGACUGCAACUGACACUGAGGCUCGAAAGUGUGGGUAUCAAACAGGAUUAGAUACCCCUAGUAGUC